rnacentral:rRNA from 1 species
UGGUGGAGUGAUUUGUCUGGUUAAUUCCGAUAACGAACGAGACCUUAACCUGCUAAAUAGUAACGGAAAGGGUAUGAUAUGGGGUGAAGGGUCGGGCGGCGCAGUGUGGGCUCCGGUCUGUGCUGUACCCGCGACUGACCUGGAUCCUCUUACCUCUUUACCGGCUGUACUUCUUAGAGGGACUGUUCACUUCCAGUGAACGGAAGUUUGAGGCAAUAACA